rnacentral:lncRNA from 1 species
AAACUAAGAUACGUACCCACUUUCGUAGGGCAUCAUGAUUGCACUUAGCACGUGCAACAAGCCGUUAAACCCCUAGGUUACCCUAGUGGACGAGUGUUGUCUCGUGAGGGUUUGCAGUAAUGUUACCCACAAACAUCAUGAAUGAUAUGACAUGACAUGAGAUCCUAAUAAAAAUGUGCAAUAAAUCCUAAGCCAAUACACAUGUAAUUAAUAUAUAUAUUUUCAAGCAUGGCAACUAUCA